UACGAGGGGGGCAAGCGUUGUUCGGAAUUAUUGGGCGUAAAGGGCGCGUAGGCGGUGCGGUAAGUCACCUGUGAAAACUCUGGGCUCAACUCAGAGCCUGCAGGCGAAACUGCCGUGCUUGAGGGACCUAGAGGUGAGCGGAACUGAUGGUGGAGCGGUGAAAUGCGUUGAUAUCAUCAGGAACACCGGAGGCGAAGGCGGCUCACUGGGGGUCUUCUGACGCUGAGGAACGAAAGCCAGGGGAGCGAACGGG
rnacentral:rRNA from 1 species